AUCUCUAGUAGCGGCGAGCGAGCGGAGAGCUCAAUUAUAAUCUGGCACCUUCCGUGUCCGAGUUGUAUCUCUAGAAAUGUUUCGCGUUGGACCGGCACACAAGUCUGUUGGAAUACAGGCGGCAUAGUGGUGAGACCCCCCGUAAUAUGGUGCGGACCGCCCAGCGCUUUGUGAUACAUUUUCGAAGAGUCGAGUUUGUUUGGGAAUGCAGCUUCAAAUUGGGUGGUAAAUUCCAUCUAAAGCUAAAUAUUGGCGAGAGACCGAUAGCGAACAAGUACCGUGAGGGAAAGAUGAAAAGCACUUUGGAAAGAGAAGUUAACAGUACGUGAAAUUUGUUGGAAGGGAAACGCUUGAAGUCAGACUUGGCUUGCCGAGCAAUCGGUUUGCAGGCCAGCAUCAGUUUUCCGGGAUGGAUAAUGGUAAGAGAGAAAGGUAGCAGUUUCGGCUGUGUUAUAGCUCUCUGCUGGAUACAAUCUUGGGGGACUGAGGAAACGCAGUGUGCCUUUGGCGGGGGUUUCGACCUCUUCACACUUAGGAUGCUGGUGGAAUGGCUUUAAACGACCCGC
rnacentral:rRNA from 1 species